CAUAGGCCACGUCCAGGAGCACCACAUACUCGCCCAUGCUCUCUCUUGUGGCCUCCAUCGCUUGUGCGCCCAGCUCCAGCGGUCACGCCCACGGUGGACCAUGGGCUGUCUAUAAAAAGGCACCCCGAGCCGCUCCAGCCCCUCUAGUCUCUCUCUCACACCCAAUAGCCCUCUGACACCCUCCAUUUGAUCCCUAGAGCCCUCGAGAUCGAGAUCAAGCUCGGGACUGCCACCGUUCGGCCAGUGAAUACUCGGUGGUGACCUCUUCCCGUAGCUCUCCACCGCGACCUCCUCCUCACCGAUGACCCAUGCCUCUCCGGCGACCAACUCCGACAGCCCUCGAACAGCGACUCCAUACUGAUUCCAUCCACAGCUUCAUCGAGCCCUGUAGUUCCUUCUCUCACCAAAGGUGAGCUUGUCGUCCUCCCUGUCGCGGGGUUGGAGAUGAGAGGCAAGCUCCGCUUGUCGGCCCCGCCCCGCGUGUCAGUUCUAAACAAGACACACGUGUGCGUCAGCUCGCCUAGGCCGGGUUAGCUGGUUGGGCCUGGCUCGGCUCACUAUUUUGACCCUGGGCAUAGUAGCCCUUUUCUUGUUUUCUUUUUCGGCAUUAUUUCCAAAAAACCUCUGGCUAAAAUAAUAGUCCAAAUGCAAUGAUUCUAAUUUCAAAAAAAUUGUAAUAUUGCAAUCUAUUUAAUUGUGCCACUUGUGCAAUUUUUUAUAGGAAGCUUUAUACAGUGUUUUCAUUUAAAA